rnacentral:misc_RNA from 1 species
GAUGAAGAACGUAGCGAAGUGCGAUAAGUAAUGUGAAUUGCAGAAUUCAGUGAAUCAUCGAAUCUUUGAACGCACAUUGCGCCCGCCAGUAUUCUGGCGGGCAUGCCUGUUCGAGCGUCAUUACAACCCUCAGGCCCCCGGGCCUGGCGUUGGGGAUCGGCGGAAGCCCCCUGUGGGCACAACGCCGUCCCCCAAAUACAGUGGCGGUCCCGCCGCAGCUUCCAUUGCGUAGUAGCUAACACCUCGCAACUGGAGAGCGGCGCGGCCACGCCGUAAAACACCCAACUUCUGAAUGUUGACCUCGAAUCAGGUAGGAAUACCCGCUGAACUUAAGCAUAUCAAUAAGCGGAGGA